rnacentral:rRNA from 1 species
AUUGAACGCUGGCGGCAGGCCUAACACAUGCAAGUCGAACGAGUGGCGGACGGGUGAGUAAUGUCUGGGAAACUGCCCGAUGGAGGGGGAUAACUACUGGAAACGGUAGCUAAUACCACAUACCAUCGGAUGUGCCCAGAUGGGAUUAGCUUGUAGGUGAGGUAACGGCUCACCUAGGCGACGAUGCCUAGCUGGUCUGAGAGGAUGACCGGCAAAACUGGAACUCAGAGACGGUCUGGACUCCAUCGGGAGGCAGCAGUGGGGAAUAUUGCACAAUGGGCGCAAGCCUGAGGCAGCCAUGCCGCGUGGAUGAAGAAGGCCUUCGGGUUGUAAAGUAAUUUCAGCGGGGAGGCGUUACCCGCAGAAGAAGCACCGGCUAACUCCGUGCCAGCCGCCGCGGUAAUUC